rnacentral:ncRNA from 1 species
ACUUUGGAUAGAGAGUUAAAUAGUACGUGAAACCGUCGAGAGGCAAACGGGAGGGCCUGUCGGGUCGUUCUGUCGCUUUCAGGCGGGCCAGAGACCGGGUCGUGGGAUCAGGGACCUUCGCGGGCCUCGACUCGCGUCGCCGGCCGACGGCUCGGCGCACUAGCGUCGGACGAGGGCCGCGACCGGCUGGGCGGCGGGCAAACGGCUCCGGGCAAGGUAACCCCGCUUCGGCGGGGUGCUACAGGCCCGGUGCGCGCAAGGGUCGCCGCCCGGUCGAGGAGAGAUGCGCGCCGCACCUGCCCCGUUCGCGGGGCCGGGGAAGCCGUUCGAGCAGCGUCGUGUCGCGGUCCGGGACUGUCCUCAGUCCCGGGUCGUCUCGGCGCGGUUCCGAGCGGUCGCUCCCUCGCGAGGUGCCGCGGGUCAGCGGCUGACGCCAGCCACCUUCCCGACCCGUCUUGAAACACGGACCAAGGAGUCUAACAUGUGCGCGAGCCGCGGGGCAGUACGAAACCCGUAAGGCGAAAUGAAGGUGAACGCCGGCGCGGUCCGGCGGAGGUUGGAUCCCGUCCCGUCGGGGCGGGCGCACUACCGGCCGAUCUUCUCCGCCCUGUCGGCGAGGUCGAGCGAGAGCGUGCAAGUCGGGACCCGAAAGAUGGUGAACUAUGCCUGAGGAGGUUGAAGCCAGAGGAAACUCUGGUGGAGGACCGUAGCGAUUCUGACGUGCAAAUCGAUCGUCAAAUUUGGGUAUAGGGGCGAAAGACUAAUCGAACCGUCUAGUAGCUGGUUCCCUUCGAAGUUUCCCUCAGGAUAGCUGGCGCUCUGUCGCAGUUUUAUCUGGUAAAGCGAAUGAUUAGAGGUCUUGGGGGCGAAACGCCCUCAACCUAUUCUCAAACUUUAAAUUGGUAAGAAGCCCGACUCGCUCGUUUGGAGCCGGGCAUGGAAUGCGAGUGCCAAGUGGGCCACUCUUGGUAAGCAGGACUGGCGAUGCGGGAUGAACCGAACGCCGGGUUAAGGCGCCCGACGCGACGCUCAUCAGAGCCCACAAAAGGUGUUGGUUGAUAUAGACAGCAGGACGGUGGCCAUGGAAGUCGGAAACCGCUAAGGAGUGUGUAACAACUCACCUGCCGAAUCAAUCAGCCCUGAAAAUGGAUGGCGCUGGAGCGUCGGGCCUAUACCCGGCCGUCGCGGCGGUACGAGCAUCGAGUUGGUGCGCUAGGCCGCGACGAGUAGGAGGGCCGCGGCGGCGGGCGUAGAAGCCUAGGGCGCGAGCCCGGGUGGAGCAGCCGUCGGUGCAGAUCUUGGAUGGUAGUAGCAAAUAUUCAAAUGAGAACUUUGAAGGCCGAAGUGGAAAAGGGUUCCAUGUGAACAGCAGUUGAACAUGGGGUCAGUCGACCCUAAGGGAUAGGCGAAGGCCGUUCUGAAGCGGGGUGAUGUUCGCGUCGCCCCGGCGGACCGAAAGGGAAUCGGGUUAAUAUUCCCGAACCUCGACCGGGAGAUUGGCGCUCCGGCGCCUAGUGCGGCAACGCAAACGAACUCG